rnacentral:lncRNA from 1 species
GGACUGCGUCUUAAGCGCUGAGAGGCGUCAACACGUCAGCACAACCGCGGCCGACUCCAGGCACACCAAUGGGAGGUCCUGCAGUAGGUCGGCUGUGCGGGACUGGAGGAGAUGGUAGAGAUCAGUCAAGAGGAGCAGCAAUAAGCCUCUGGGCAGCGGCCGGGUCUCAGGUCUGCGCCUGGCCUUGCUCAUCUUCUAAAAUCAGCCUGUCUGAGCUCUCCUGUUCUGUACCAUCCUGUCAUAUUGGAAUCUAGUCGUCCAUUGCCCUCUGCCUGGCUAGUUUCCACAGGGCUUUUAAAUUCCCUCAGUGGCUCUAUACUUAGAUAGUGAUGAAUAGAAAUGCUGCCGUUCUGGUGUCUGUUGCUCUUUCUUUGUUUUUAUCCCUGCUCUAUCUGGUCAUUUUUCUAUGUCUGAACACUUCACUAACACAGACAAAGACAGUAACAUAUUGCACAACUGAGAACGGGGAAGUAAGCAAAAAGGGAAGAAAAAUGUCUCUGAACAGCCAAAAUAGAUAUUGCAAAGUCCAUGUGUAAGACUGAUGUGAUGUUUGCAUAAUUCUGAAGCUCGGAACUGAGAACAAUUCUAACUCCUUUUACUGCUAUGACAAAAGGAAGACAUUAGUGGUGUCAGAGGUGAAAAGAACAGUUUUCUGGGAAUCUUUUAGGGAUUACUACCCUCAAUUUUGUAAGUACGGACUGUCCCCAACUUACUGUGUUUCACUUACAACUUCACAACUUCAUAAUGCUACUCAUACAACCAUUCUGUUUUUCACUUUCAGUACAGCAUUCAAUAAAUUCCAUGAGAUAUCCAACAAUUUAUUGUAAGAUAGGCUUUGUGUUAGAUAAUUUUGCCCAACUGCAGGCUAAUAUAACUGUUCUGAGCACAUUUCAGGUAGGCUGGUCUAAGCUGUGAUGUUCAGCAGGCUAAGGGCAUUAAAUGCAUAUUUGACUGAAAAUAUUUUCAGCUGAUGAUGGGUUUAUAGGAACGUAGCCCUGUUGUAAGUCCCGGAGCAUCUGUACUUUUUUCUUAGGUGCAUUUUCUGGUCGGCCAUGUAGUAUCCUUGUUACAACUCCAGAGUAAGAUGAAGUCCCAGGACCAGUGCUUCAGGACCACUGCAGGAAAAACUUUUAACACUCCCCUGCUCUGAAUGUGUGGAUGACACUGAAAUCAUUGUUGGUGCUACUAACUGGCAUUUCCCAUUCUACUCUUCUCAAGCACAUGGGAGGGUUGCACUUCCCUAAUUCUGUGAUUGUUAGGUACUUAUUUCUUUGCUUUGGUCAAAGAAAUAAGAAUGGAAGUAAUGUGUCCCUUCCAGUCAAAAACGUCAAGCCCUGAGCAUAAUUUGCCAAAUUUCACCCCCCUGUGUGAUGUCAGAUAUUGUUCCCGGAGGGUGUAAGUGGUAUCAGUCUCCAUCUCUGAGUGAAGACAACAUGGGACAGAGCCUUCCAUCAAUGUAUCAGCAUCCCUGUUGCUUAUAAGACACUGAGAUUCAUGGAUUAUUUGUUAACAUAGUAUGCUUUCCUUACUGAUACAUACACACAUGCUCAUUGUACAUAGAGAACUCCUAUAUCACUCCUCAAAGGGUGUCUUAUCUUCACAUGGUCAUGCAAACCUAGAUUAUCUAACAUGCAAUAUUCAGUAAAUUAAAAGGCCCUUACUUCUGUAGGUAGAUCUACUACAUAUCUUUAAAGGAAACAGCUGAUAGCCAAAAUGAAUAUAUAUAAACUAUAACAGAAGGGAAAGAAAUUGUAUCAAUCAGGUUAUUUAUCAGAAGCCCACAGACCUACAUACCUUAGUGGACUCUGACAUUAUCCAUGACUUUGGUGCACUGGUCUUGAACCACCCAACCCCCCAAAUUUCCCCCAGUCAAAUUUCUAAUGGAAGUGGUUUUACUUUCGUAUUCCUUUAUGUUAAUGAUGAAAUUUCAGAUUCAAGAAUAUGUAAAUGUCUAAUCGUGUUUUUGGAGAUACUUUUUAAAAGAUAAUUCUACACAUUAGGAGUAGAAAGGGAAGCAAAUCAAAUGACAGAAAAAUAGCAGUCUUUGCAUUAAUCCUAAAGUGUAUGUAAUAAACAUAAACCUAGAACUUACAUAUGCACUCUUCUGACAUUUUUGAAUACGUAGGAGGUGAGGUGCAAGUAAAAGAAGAUGAUGGCAUUUGCUUUGGCAUAAAGUCUUUGUGGAGUUUUGAGAAAAUAUUUUUGUAUUUCUGCAGAGUUGAGGCUUUCUGAAUAAAUUUUCCUGAAAAAUUUGGAUCCCGAGCAUAUUAAUCCAUUCUCAUGCUGCUAUAAAGAACUGCCCGAGACGGAAUAAUUUAUAAAGAAAAGAGCUUUAAUUGACUCAGUUCUGCAGCACUGGGGAGGCCUUAGGAAACUUAAAAUAAUGGCAGACAGGGAAGGAAACACGUUCUCCUUCACAUGGUGGCAGGAAGGAGAAGAAUGAGUGCUGAGUGAAGAGGGAAGCCCCUUAUAAAACCAUCAGAUCUCAU